CAAACGACUCUCGGCAACGGAUAUCUCGGCUCACGCAUCGAUGAAGAACGUAGCAAAAUGCGAUACUUGGUGUGAAUUGCAGAAUCCCGUGAACCAUCGAGUUUUUGAACGCAAGUUGCGCCCGAAGCCAUCCGGUAGAGGGCACGUCUGCCUGGGCGUCACGC
rnacentral:rRNA from 1 species